rnacentral:rRNA from 1 species
UACGUAGGGACCGAGCGUUGUCCGGAUUCAUUGGGCGUAAAGAGCUCGUAGGCGGCUGUUCAAGUCGAACGUGAAAACUCGGGGCUCAACUCCGAGCCUGCGUCUGAUACUGGAUGGCUUGAGAUUGGGAGAGGGAUGCGGAAUUCCAGGUGUAGCGGUGAAAUGCGUAGAUAUCUGGAGGAACACCGGUGGCGAAGGCGGCAUCCUGGACCAACACUGACGCUGAGGAGCGAAAGCCAGGGGAGCAAACGGG